CAAAGGAGCGGGCACUUGAGGCAGCAGGAUCAGGAUCCACCCUAAUCCUGGAGCCGCCCUAUUCCCAGCAGGAUCCACCCUAAACCCGGAGCCACCCUAAUCCCUGAGCAGGGUCACCUUUCAAACCAAAAUGCCAUGCAUCAUUCCUACUUGGCUAUGGCUCUCAGCACCCAGGGAGCCAGGUGGCCACAUAGAAAAGGUAAGUGCAGUUCUCAGCCUUAAAUGAGGUCCCAGCCACUGCCACAUGCCCUGUGGGAUAGACAAGGGAGCCAGUCUUUUAGCAAUCCCACUCCCCAACCAAGUGUCCUUGUGUGGCCUUCAAGCUGCCUCAGGUGGUGCUGCCUAUAAGUGUCACUGAGCCCUGCCCGAAUUGCAGAUUUGUGAGCCAAUUAAAUAAUGCUGAAGGUUGCACAAUCUAGGUGUGGAGUGGAUUAGUACUGUUCUCCAGAGCUCUAACUUCACAGUUCCCAUGCCAGAAGUUCACUUUAAAGAGAAACUGACUUGAAGAGGAAGAAGGAGGAAACAACUCAUGCUGAGAUAGAAAAUUUAUGCUUCCCUACUGAAUAAAAAGCCCUAUUUCUCUUGUCAUCCAGAAACUGACUCUUCUUCCUCCAAGAUCUUGGCUCAGGCCUGAACCUGUGCACCGGGCUGAAACAUGAAGGCUACCAGAGAUGCCUGAGUCCUCGUGGAAGGAGUGUCUUUCACACUGUACCAGCAGAUGGAGAUAAAUGCCAAAAGGGAUGCAGAAGGUCAGUGGGAAGGCUACAAAGGGCCUGAAAUAAACCUGCCCAGAAAGCUUGUUGAACAGCAGGAGGCUGGUUAAAUAUAGCUUCCUCAGAACUUUGGUCAUCUUUUGAGGUUUCUAUACUCUGCAGGCAUAACCAGGCUUUUUUCAGGAUCAGUGGUCAUAAUUUUUCAGCAGAAGGAAGUCCUGCUGCUGCUCAUUGACCCACCAGGGUCCCCUGUGGUGGUUCUAUGUGGCACGGGCAUCCCCGGUCACCAGCCACAGAACGCAGCCCCGAAACCUGGACCUUGAAUGGUUUUAGCAGUAGAAAGGGGAGUGGAAGGAGCCAGGGAGGGCUGGGUACCCGUACCUUCCAGUCCCUUUGAAUUAAUUAUUUCUAACGAAAUCCUCCAGACAUCUCUAUGAGGUAUAUAUUUAACCCCACUUGAUAGUAAGAAGACAGGUGAUCUGAAGUUUUAAGUAACCCACCCCAGGUUCAAAUCCAGGUCCGUCUGAGUCCAAAGAAUAUUCUUUGAUGAUAUCUGAAGGCCUUUCAAGAAAUGGGGCCAUAUUUAAAAGGGAAAGAAAAAAAUGCUGACACCUGUUCACGGAGUCAUCCUGUACCCAACCCAAAUGCAAAAUGAAUUCAGAACUCCACUAAAAGGAUAGAUUGUUUGGUUAAAAUGACUUGAUUUUCCCUCUACUAACAGGCUAAAUUGCUCAUGAAUGAAUUAUUCAAGGACUGGAGGUUAUUGCAUCUCUUUCUUCUUCUUGUUUUGUGCCUUUGGAGGCAGGGGAGGAUUUCUUUCUGAUGUGCAAUUCCUCAGGUAACAGUCCUGGGAAGGCAAAGGAGUCAAAAAGAGUGAAACUAAAAUUCCAGUCAUUUUCUUAAAGAUCAUGGGAUUUACAGUUGGAUAAGAUCUUAAAGAUCACUGUCUAAGUCAGCUUUUCAGCUGCUGUGACUAAAAAGACCUGACAAGAACAAUUUUAGAGAAGGAAAAGUUUAUUGGAGGGCUCACUGUUUUCAGAGGUCUCAGUCCAUAGGCAGCUGGCUCCAUUCCUUAGGGUUCAAGGUGAGGCUGAACAACAUUGUAGAAAGGUGUGGUGGAGGAAAGCAGCUAAUGUGGUGAUCAGACAUCAGAGAGAGAGACUCCACUUGCCAGAUACAAAAUAUAUAUCCCAAAGCCACACCUCCAGGGACCCAUCUCCUCCAGCCACUACCUGCUGGCCUUCAGUCACCACUCAGUUAAUCCCAUCAGGGGAUUGAUUCAUUGAUUGGGUUAAGACUCUCAUAACCUAAUCAUUUCUCCUCUGAACUAUCUUGCAUUGCCUUACACUUGAGCUUUCAGGAGACACCUAAUAUCUAAACCAUAACAAUCAUGUAUAUAAGGGCUGAGGAUGUAGCUCAGUGAUUCAGCUCAUGCUUAGCAUGCACAAGGCCUGGGUUCAAUCCUCAAGACACCCUGCAAUGUGAGAGCAGGUACUUCCCAUUGUCCUCACAGGGGCCAGCUGUGUCAGGUAAAUGCCAAUCCAGGAGACUGAGUUCUUUUCCACUGGUUUCAUUUGACUAUGUCAUUUGGCUUUGGGUUUGGGGAGACACUGAGGAGGAGCUAUAAAUUAAACGAAAGUCAUUACAUUAUUAUGGAUUCCAUUAUGUCUACAAUAGCCUUCUUCCAUUAUCCCAGACAAGUGAAUAGUUACAUAGACUAUUCAAGCAUCUUAGAAUGAGAUGGUAGAAGAGGCCACAGAAGCAUCUUCUGACUUCCAUCAACUCGCUCUUCCAUGUCAACAUCUCUUCACAAAAAAAGGUUAUUUCAUUUAAAUAUUACAACAGCCUUGAAGAACAAAGGUAUGUAUUUAAUCAAGAUUUUGUAGGCCUCUGUUGUGUGCCAGGCACUAUAAUGGGUGGUCAUCACAUAUUACUCUUCCUGUUCAAGAAUCCUUCAGGGUAUUUUGUCCAUUUUACAGGUGAGCAAACUGAGGCAUGGAUUAAAGCAUUCCCUGCAGGAUCUCCUGACUCCAGUAGUGUUUAAUAAACCACUCUUGCAGCAGGCUCAGGAGUGAGUAGGGUGUGUCUCUUCUACUUAGCCAUGAAGGAAUCCAGGGUAACGGUCAUUCUUUCUCUACUACUUGGCUCCCAAGGUCUUGCUGGGGUGAUGGUCCCUGUCAUCUGGAAGGGGAGUCAAACCUAGAGUAUGUGUUGCAGGAUUGAAUGUUCCAUUUCCUCUCAUAUUGUGCUAGAGAAAAAUUUUAGUCCCAUGGCCACACUAAGACCAGGGAGGCUCAGAGAGUGAUGUUCUGUUCCCAGUAUUAAAAACACUGUUGAUUUUGGUGAGCAGAUGACAGCCUGAAACCUCAGACUGUUUUUAAUUCCUACUCAUGCAAAUAUUCACUCUGAAAGUACCAUCAAAGUAAAUAGACAUCAUCAAAGGCAAAAUCAUUUCCCAAAAUUGAGAAUGAAGGAUGUGGGGAUGGGGAUGUGGCUCACUGGUAGAGUGCUUGCCUAGCAUGCACAAGACCCUGAGUAGGAUCCCCAGCACAAUGCCCACUGCAGAAUGGAAGAUGCAUUUUAAGUACAGUCAGUUUGUCUGAAGGAAAUCCUCAGAGACAAUCAAAGGCUAUGAAGGAAGGUAGGAUGGGAGACGAGACCUGCUGCCCUUGCAGGGAGAGUUCUCUCCAAUCUCCAUGUUCCUCUGUUCCUUCAAUGCUGUGCAAAAGGUCUUGGCUCAUAUAUGCCAAGAUUGAUGUUUUUAAGACACCAUGCCCUUUGGGAUCUGUAUUAGGGAUCUCUAGAGGAACAGGACCAACAAGAGAUACACACACACACACACACACACACAUACAUAUUGCAUAUACUAUAUAUGUAUAUACAUACAUAUAUACAUACACAUAUAGUUUAGUUAUAGUUACAGUUAUAAAAGGGGACUUAUUAGAUUGGCUUACAGAAUCAGAAACUAGAUAGUUCCACAGUGGCCACCUGCAGAUUGGAGAGCUGGGGAAACCAGUAGCUUCUCAGUCCAAAAAGCCAGAGCCUGAGAAGAAAAGUGACCACUGAUGCAGCCCCAGUCUGGGACUGCAGGCCUGGGAACUCCCUGGAGUCAUAGCAGCAACCCAAACACCCACCUGAGAGAGAGAGAAAAAUGGCGCCUGCAUCCAUGUUGGCUUCCUCCUCUCUUGACCCUCCUUCCAUCCUGGCCCCAGCCCAUUCAGCCACACCACCCAUAUUUAGGAUGGGUCUACCCUCUCAGUUUCCUGUCUCACAUGUCAGUACACCCUCAUCAACACACACACACACACACAAAGUCUCCUAAUUCAAUCAAGUUGACCAUCCAUAUCAACAAUCGCAGGAUCCCACCCAAAGGAAAGGGCAAGUUCAUCUUUCUUGGGGUCUGCAGAGAACUGCUAGGACCUUGACUCCAAAUUUUAGAGAAAUGAUAUGUUCUUCAGGCCAGAAGCAUAGCAGACAAAACAGGAUUCUAGAAUUCCCUUCACCAGGAUUGCUUCUUAGGAUCCAGGAAGCAGAGUGCUGAGAUAAAAGCUUGAAGAAUAUGAUGGAAGUACCCACAUCAAGGGAGGUCAGAGGUGAGGCCAGAAGCUAGAUAACCAGAUUAUUAGGUCUCUUCUCUGGCAAAAAGAGAUAAAUACUUUCUUAUUUCAAAACUGUUGUGCAGUUCCCCUUCCCUUUCCUAAGGCAAUAGUGCACAACUUAAGGUAUUUUUUGCUUCAAAAAUUUGAAUGAAAAACUCCACACUGUGGAUUAUUUUUCUUCUGCAGCACACAUGUUUAUCAAAUGUUCUCUUGUCCUUGGAAAACAAUUUUUUUCUAUAAUUUUGAAAAAUCGUCUUGCAAAAAAAAAAAAACCAACUUUAAAUAUUGUUAUGGUUUGGAUGUAAGGCGUCCCCCAAAAGCUCACAUGUGAGACAAUAUAAGAAGGUUCAGAGGAGAAAUGAUUGGGUUGUAAGAGUCUUACCCCAAUCAGUGAAUGGAUCCCCUGACAGAAUUAACUGAGUGGUAACUGAAGUGGUAGGGUGUGGCUGGAGGAGGUGGGAAUUGGGGAUGUGGCUUUGGAGUAUAUAUUUAUAUUUAGCAACUGGAGUCUCUCUCUGCUUUCUGAUCAGCAUGUGAGCUGCUUCCCUCUGCCACAGUCUUCCUCCAUGAUAUUCUACCUUACCUUGAGCCCUGAGGAAUGGAGCCAGCCUUGUAUGGACUAACACCUCUGAACCCUCAUUACUCCAACAAAGAGCCACCCAUGGGCCACCCAUGUUCACAUAGAAUUCUGCUUCCCAGCACAAGCACAGCCUGACCAAAGUGGCCAAAGACACCAGAAAUUACACUGCUGUGAAGACCCACCACAGCCCCAUAGGCAAGUCCUGUCACAAAGCCCAGAAACCCUCCUGUGCUCUUCUGGGAGAUCCCACAGCUCCUGUGUCUCUCCCCUCACUCCUGGGACCAUGGAAGCAAGUGUCACUUUGCCUCCCCCAAAAGGUGGGCAUAGUGGUGCUCAGGAAGUACUCAUAGGCUCACGGAAGAAGGAACUACUCAGCCGGAUGCAAAAGCAGCCCUUUGCAUUCUUCUCCAUUCCAGUAUUGACCUAGGAAGGUCAAAGCUACCAUUUGGCCCAUCCUUCCUCACCCCAGCCAACUGCACAUCGUGAAUGAUGAACAGCAUAUGCACACAGCAUGUGGGCCAGGGACAGUUUUGGUUAUGAAAGUCAAAGGCACUCUAGGUUAAAGCUUCAACAAGGAGGGAAUCUGUGGGAAGCAAGUAACCCACAGGACGCAAGCCCAUUUCUUUAGACAGAAGAGGCCAAGCCAGGCCAGAGAAGACUCCUCCGCGCUGCCUCUUCCUCAGCAGAAGAUCCUCACAUCAUGCCACAAUACUUGUUUUUAGUCUGUUCCCAUAGCUUUGCUACUGUGCCAUUUUCCAGCUCAUCUGACUCCCCCUGACCCCCCAUCAAUCAUCUGUUCUGGAGGCUUUGUGCCAAGUUUUCAGAGAUCCAUAGUAAUUAAAUUUAAAUUAAAAAUCACUCAGAUGCUA